rnacentral:rRNA from 1 species
UACGUAGGGGGCAAGCGUUGUCCGGAAUCAUUGGGCGUAAAGCGCGUGUAGGCGGCCAGAGAAGUCCGCUGUGAAAACUCGAGGCUCAACUUCGAGCUGUCGGUGGAAACUUUCUGGCUAGAGUCCGGAAGAGGAGAAUGGAAUUCCUGGUGUAGCGGUGAAAUGCGCAGAUAUCAGGAAGAACACCCGUGGCGAAGGCGGUUCUCUGGGACGGUACUGACGCUGAGACGCGAAAGCGUGGGGAGCGAACAGG